rnacentral:rRNA from 1 species
GUCCCGACCGUAAACGAUGGAUACUAAGUGCUGGCAAAACCAGUGCUGUAGCUAACGCGUUAAGUAUCCCGCCUGGGGAGUAUGCUCGCAAGAGUGAAACUCAAAGGAAUUGACGGGAAUUGGCACAAGCGGUGGAUUAUGCGGUUUAAUUCGAUGAUACACGAAGAACCUUACCAGGGAUUGACAUGCUCAGAACUUACGAGAGAUUGUAAGGUGCCCUUACUUAAAGUAAGGGAGCUGAGACACAGGUGGUGCAUGGCUGUCGU